rnacentral:rRNA from 1 species
UACGUAAGUGGCAAGCGUUGUCCGGAUUUACUGGGCGUAAAGAGCGCGCAGGCGGUCGGAUAAGUCGAAUGUGAAAGCCCCCGGCUCAACUGGGGAGGGUCAUUCGAUACUGUUCGACUCGAAGGCAGGAGAGGGAAGUGGAAUUCCCGGUGUAGUGGUGAAAUGCGUAGAUAUCGGGAGGAACACCAGUGGCGAAGGCGAGCUGCUGGACCUCUUCUGACGCUGAGGCGCGAAAGCCAGGGGAGCAAACGGG